rnacentral:lncRNA from 1 species
UGGGGAUCUCUGCUCCCUGAGAAUGAAACUCACACCCUGAAUAUUCCCUAUCACCCACACCCGUGAGUUCCCAGACAUAUGCAGCACAGAGCCCUGGGUUUGUGAUGCAUCUGUGGGGAGGGCUCCGACGUACCCCUAAACACUGGGCUCUGAGCAGGGAGAAGCAGAGAUCUGGGUGAAGGCAGAGGAUGUGGGGGCUCGGAAAGAGGGAAUUAGAAAUCUCUGUCUCAAAGAGAUUUCUUCUCUUCAGGUCCAGGGAGCAAAGGGGGAAAAAAUAAAAGAGGGGAAAAAGUGAUUUAUGGGAAUUGUGUCCCAGCUCUGGAGCGGCUCCAAGGGCCCCCCCAGCCCCAUUGAACCCAAGGUGGGGACUCCAAAGCAGCUGGAAAUAUGGCUGGGAGAGAUCGAGGCAGGCAGAGCAGGAACACAGUUAUGGGCACCUAUUGAGAAACAGAAGAAUUUCGAUGGAGAGCGGUUACAGCUCUGCGAGCAGCACCGCCAGGAGCAGAGAUCUCAAGGAUCCCCUUUGGCUUUGGCUUUCCGAAUGACAACAAAACAGAGCCACGGAAAGCAGAACACGGACCCACGUCCCCGUGCGGGCAAAGCCCCGCAGCGCCGAGCAUCGAAAACGCUGCGGGGGCGAAGGAGCGGACGGGAGGGGGGGGGUGGGGGAAACUGAGCUCCUGUCGUACCCCGAAAACAUUCGUAUAUCUUCACCGUUAUAACUAAAAACGAAAGCAGAAGUCGGGAAUGCGGCGGAGCGCGGGGAAAGUCAAUCGAUCGAUUAGCGAAGAAAUCAAUAAACGAAGGAGUAAAUCUCGGAGUGAAUCGCUGCGAUUGCGGGGAGCGCUGUACCGAAAAGAAAUCGCGGCGCCGCAAACGAAACGGAGCCGAACUGCGCUCCGGGCAACGAACCGCGUCCUUCCCACGGUGCUCCUCACCCGGGGGCGGUCAGCGGCCGCUCCGGGGCCGUUUUCCCCCUCGUGGGAACGGCGGAUGCGAACAACGAGAGGGAUCGGGGCUGCGGACGGAGGGAGAACUCAUUUCCAAGUUGCUCCGCGGGACCGCGCUGAGAAUCGUUUAAAAAUCGCGCACACGCACAGAAAUAAAAAUGUUUAGGGAGGAAACGAAGCAGGAGGGAAAUGUUCCGGCGCGGGGAAAGGGAUAAUUGGGCGAACGCAGCCGGCGGAUGAACGG